CAAAGCAAAUGAGCCACAGGACACUGACAUCAUCAAUGAAAGCUUUGUGCUGUUCUCUAAGUAGCUCCCUGCAUAGCAGCCCUCUGAUCAUAAUGACAUGUAGGUGUGUGAUAUGUGACUGACACAGCUCUCUCAAUGUACUGCAGCUUCUGUCAGAGCAGGAGGGUUUGCUUGCCAAUUAUCCAGAUUCUUGCAAGAGGCUAACUCUCCAGAAAGACCUGGGAAUGAUCACAGAAAUCAACAGUUGGAUGCUGUCUGUUCUUCAGUCUCAGCACAUGUACACUCUCCUUCCGCUGAGUCCAAUCUCGGAGGACCUGGCUGUGGAGGUAACUGAACAAGCACCAAAACAUGCAUCCCAAAAGAAUUCAGCCUGUGGUAGGGCAUGGCCCCAGGAGAAAAGGACCCCAUGAACACAGGCCACAAGGAUCAUAUGGAAUCCAGCUAUGUUCUGGACUCCUCAGCCCCAUGGAUGCCACAGCCUGACAUUUACACACUGGGACCUCCUGGUGCUAAAUAAACUUUCUAUCAUGUCCUCAGGCCAGAAAAAAAGGUUGUCCAAGGGAGUUAUUCAGGACUGCACGAGCACCCUCAGUAAAACUGGAACUAUAGAUUA